UCAGCUCCAUCACUCCUGACCCCAGUACCUCACGAAAGGCCAGAUUCCUGUCUUUCUUCCUCCAGGGUCUCUGUGGAGCUGUCACAAUCUUUGCUAUUUAAUGGGAUGUGCUCCCAGAACACAGGAGACUAAGCAUGCCUUCCUAGGAGUGCCCCAGAGAUCUGUCCUGUGACUCUGCUUGAGGGUACAUGUACCCAAUCCCCCUUCCAGGGAUUGAACCCAUGACUUUGUGCAUAGUAGAUCACAAUUCCACCGCUAAAUCCUAAUCUGGUUUCUCCACGCCACUCCUCUGUGUGUGCGUGUGUGUGUGUGCUGCGCGCGCACACACACACACACACACACACACACACAGGUGUACAUGUGUGUGGAGACAGAGAAAGCUUGGAGCAUCACGCCUCAGGAGACAUCCACCUUGAUUUUUGAUCUGAGACUCAUGGAUGAAGCCUGUCUGUGACCCUCCUGUCUCUGCUUCCUCAGGCUUGGAAUUACAAGCACAUGCUUCCAUACCGGCUUCUUUAUGUGUGUUCUAAGAUGGAACUGGGUUCCUCCAGCUUGUGGCAAGCACUUUACUGACUGAGCCAUCUCUUCAGCCCCUGGCCCACUUUCUUGAAGCCUCAUCCACAGCACAGGCAAAGGGUGGCCCCAGACCUUUUGUCUGUCCCCUGCAGCUUUUGUGUGGGCGGAGAUAGUCACUCCUCCCUGGGUCUGUGGCUCUCACUAUGGCUCUGACCCCUGCCUGCUUUUGCUUACUUUUGUUGCUGCUGAUAGAUUAGCCCUGAGAUACCAUAAAGCAGAACUCAAGCUGUGAGCAGGUGGAGCCCACCUUCGGAGGUAGUGGGGGUAUCACACGGUCACAACACAACGUGGAGCCCACCUGUGGGGUACUGCAUGCUCACAAGGGCCCUCCAUGGAAUUAUCUUAAGUGUUGAAGCACUUUGUCCUGGUCACAGCUCUGUAGACAGACCCUGUCACUUUGUCUUGUCUUCAGAUGCAAAGACUGAAGCCAGAGAAGGUGACACAGGCCUGGCUAGCUGAAGCCCUGUGCCCCAGACUUUCUACAUGCAGGAGCUGUGCGCCCUCACCCCCAGGCCUGUGGUGUGGGGAGCAUUCAUCUGGGCAGUUGCCCCACUGACACAGCACUGAGUCACGGAGCAGAGAUGGCUUUCUGAGAUAGCACGUUGGUAGAUGUGGAGAUACAGUCUCGGGACUUGGCGCUAUGGCGCCCGCCCGCCUCCUUCCGGGCUGCUUGACACUGGCUAAUUUGUGUUUGGAGAGUGGCCGAGACUCUCCAGGGCUCCCACGGGCACUCCCUGGCCUUUUAUGGAUGGAAGGCUCUUAUUAGCACUCGGGAAGUUGGAGUUUUCCUCCCAGCGACAUAGUUCUGGGAAUGUGAGGCACAUACUGAGCGACGGGACAUUCCUGAGCUGGGGCUAGGAGCUGUAAUAAGUCAACCGCCCACUUCCUCUCGACCUUAGAAGCGGGGGCUAACCAAAAACACUUGAACCUCGACCACCUUAGGGGAGGAAGGCCAGUGGCAUGGGUCACCUCGCUGACUGCAUUAUCCUGCCACACAGCGGGCAGCAGACAGGUCUCAUCAUGACCAACCUCACCGCCUUCCACAGCUUCUCUGCAUCAGGCUAUCUGGUCCACAUCACCCCUGCUGAAUAAAGUCUAGUUCUUCUCAAAUGCCGCAGGCGGUGAAGCAAGAAAGACCCGGGAAGGCAC